rnacentral:rRNA from 1 species
UACGAAGGGGGCUAGCGUUGUUCGGAAUUACUGGGCGUAAAGCGUGCGCAGGCGGCUUCUCAAGUCAGGGGUGAAAGCCCAGAGCUCAACUCUGGAACUGCCUUUGAGACUGAGAAGCUUGAGUACGGGAGAGGUGAGUGGAAUUCCCAGUGUAGAGGUGAAAUUCGUAGAUAUUGGGAAGAACACCGGUGGCGAAGGCGGCUCACUGGCCCGAAACUGACGCUCAUGCACGACAGCGUGGGGAUCAAACAGG